AUUGAACGCUGGCGGCAUGCCUUACACAUGCAAGUCGAACGGCAGCACGGAGCUUGCUCUGGUGGCGAGUGGCGAACGGGUGAGUAAUAUAUCGGAACGUACCCUGGAGUGGGGGGAUAACGUAGCGAAAGUUACGCUAAUACCGCAUACGAUCUAAGGAUGAAAGUGGGGGAGUCGCAAGACCUCAUGCUCGUGGAGCG
rnacentral:rRNA from 1 species